rnacentral:rRNA from 1 species
AACGAACGCUGGCGGCAGGCCUAACACAUGCAAGUCGAACGUGAAGCUGGAGCUUGCUCCAGUGGAAAGUGGCAGACGGGUGAGUAACGCGUGGGAAUUUACCCAGUGGUACGGAAUAACUCAGGGAAACUUGUGCUAAUACCGUAUAAGCCCUUCGGGGGAAAGAUUUAUCGGAGUUGGAUGAGCCCGCGUUAGAUUAGUUUGUUGGUAGGGUAAUGGCCUACCAAGACUACGAUCUAUAGCUGGUCUGAGAGGAUGAUCAGCCACACUGGGACUGAGACACGGCCCAGACUCCUACGGGAGGCAGCAGUGGGGAAUAUUGCACAAUGGGCGCAAGCCUGAUGCAGCCAUGCCGCGUGAGUGAAGAAGGCCUUAGGGUUGUAAAACUCUUUCAUCGGUGAAGAUAAUGACGGUAGCCGAAGAAGAAGCCCCGGCUAACUCCGUG